rnacentral:rRNA from 1 species
CACCGGCGGCCCGAGUGGUAACCGCUUUUAUUGGGUCUAAAGGGUCUGUAGCCGGCCAAGUAAGUCCCUUGGGAAAUCUGGCAGCUUAACUGUCAGGCUGCUAGGGGAUACUGCUAGGCUUGGGACCGGGAGAGGUGAGAGGUACCUUGGGGGUAGGGGUGAAAUCUUGUGAUCCUCGGGGGACCACCAGUGGCGAAGGCGUCUCACCAGAACGGGUCCGACGGUAAGGGACGAAAGCUAGGGGCACGAACCGGAUUAGAUACCCGGGUAGUCCUAGCCGUAAACGAUGCUCGCUAGGUGUCAGUCACGGUGCGACCGUGAUUGGUGCCGUAGGGAAGCCGUGAAGCGAGCCACCUGGGAAGUAUGGCCGCAAGGCUGAAACUUAAAGGAAUUGGCGGGGGAGCACUACAACGGGUGGAGCCUGCGGUUUAAUUGGAUUCAACGCCGGAAAUCUCACCGGGGGCGACAGCGAUAUGAAGGUCAGGCUGAAGACCUUACCCGAUUAGCU